GAACAGCCUGAGGAUGGUGAGAGGUAGCAAGAUGGUGCCACUAUUCCAGGUCCUUGGGCUCAUGUUCCUCUGUCUUCCAGGUCUCCAGGCACAGCCAUCCAGCUCAGAGACUUUUAAUUGCAUCUUGAUGGGGAGCAAGCUCAACACAGUUGGUCAAGAAGAUGAUGUCCAUGCCCUAAGUCCUAUGUCCUCUGCUGCUCUGUGUUCUAGGUGAGUGAAAUUGUUCAAAAUCACAGAAAUACAAUGAAUGCUUCCUCCAAUAUUAGUUGCAUUUCAUUGGAAAUGUGUUUUUGAGCUGUGAUAUGCACUAAAUGCCACAUUAUUUAAUUCUCCAUCUCUCAUGCUACAGAGAUGAGCUUUUCUGUUUCAUUUUUCUUUCUAAACAAGCUGUAUAACACUAGAGGUCCAGUCUCUGUCUGUGAGUGCAGAUUCCUCUUACUCAUACUCCAUAAUUACAUGCUCUGAGACUAGAGAGCAUCUCAAUUAGACUCUCACUUAGUCUCAAUCUGCAGACCUGGAACCAGCCUCCCGUGCAUUGAUGAGAGAGACCAUCUAGCCUCUCUUGAACUUGAAACAAAAGUCAAAGACUGGACAUAAAGAAAGAGCCCAACUCAUGUGUAAUCCUCAAUACAAAACUUAUAUUAGAGAUUUGUAUCAGAAUUUCACCUGGCCACAUGUAGGUGUAAUCUAACCAGAGAAGCCUAAAAACUUCCAAAACCUGAAGAAGGGAACAGAUAUCCAGGUAGAGAAAGAACAGAGGGUUCCAAUCAAGAGAAACCAAACAGAGCCUCAUGAAGACAUAUCAUAAUUAAAAUAGCAAAAGUUAAAAAAUAAAGAGAGGAUUCUUUUUUUUUCCCACUGUUCAGCAAGGGGGUCAGGUUAUCCUUACAUGUAUACAUUACAAUCACAUUUUUCCCCCACCCUUUCUUCUGUUGCAACAUGAGUAUCUAGACAAAGUUAAAGAGAGGAUUCUAAAAGCAGCAAUAGAAAAUUAAAGAGUCAGUUACCAGGGAACACCCAGAAGGCUAUCAGCUGGUUUCUCUGCAGAAACUUUGCAAGCCAGAAGGGAGUAGCCUGAUACACUCAAAGUCCUGAAAGGGAAAAACCUGCAACCAAGGAUACUCUACCCAGAAAGACUAUCAUUUAGAAUGGAAGGAGGGAUAAAGAAUUUCACAGACAACCAAAAACUGAAGAAAAUACAGCAAUGCUAAAACCACCCUGAAAGAAAUCUUGAAAGGUCUUCUCUAAAUAGAAAUGAAGCAAGAUUCUAUAUGGAAGGAAAAAUCAUAAUAGGAAAGGCAAAUAUAUAAAAGGAUUGGUGACUACUUAAGUAAGCCAGCAAAUAGAUUAAAAACAAUCAAUACUUUUUGUAGAAGCAAUUAUAGCUAAAAUUAACAGCAAAAGGACAUCAAAAUCACAAAGCAUAGGGGAGAGGAGUAUAAAAAUGUAGGUCUUUUAGAAUGUGUUUGAGCUUGUAUGACUAUUAGUCUAAAUCAGAUAGCUAUAAUUAUGGGUCAACAUACUUGAAAACCAGGUUAACCACAAAUCAAAAACAUAUGAUAGGAGGUCCUGUCGUGGUACAGUGGAAACAAAUCCAACUAGGAACCAUGAGGUUGUGGGUUAAAUCCCUAGCUCCGCUCAGUGGGUUGAGGAUCCGGCCACCAGAUCCUGCUGUGAGCUGUGGUGUAGGUCACGGACGUGGCUCGGAUCUGGUGUUGCUGUGGCUGUGGUGUAGGCCAGUGGCUACAGCCGGAUUAGACCCUAGCCUGGGAACCUCCAUAUGUCGCGGGUGCGGCCCUCAAAAAGACAAAAAUAUGAAGUAAAAUAACAAAAACAUACAAUAGAGUCACAAAAACAAAGGAACAUUUUAGGAAUGUUCCUAAAAAGAAAGGAAUGAAAGCAUAAUACAAAAGAAUACCAUCAAAUCAUAAAGAGAAAAACAAAAAGAAGAAAUAAAAAAAAA
rnacentral:lncRNA from 1 species